UAGAUCUUUCCUGCAAAACUCUGUUUUUCACCUAAGAAAUCAGAAUUCAAAGGGACGCCAAAGGAGGAGAUGCUAAAAGCAAGGGACCAGAAGCUUAAAUUAAGGUAGAGCCUGUCAAGCUUAAUCCUAUUUUAAUCAUCUUGAUUUUCUUCAGUAAUUGGUUUCUUGCGUUUCUUUUUUUCUUUCAUUUCGGACAAAAUAAGAACGAAUCAUUAUAUUUUUUUUAGUAAUUAUUUGGAUAUAUAAUUUGGUUUAAUCAAUUGUAUAUCAUUAAAUUUCACUAGAAUUUUUUUUAUCGGCAUCUAAUUAAAAUCAAACAAGUUACUCGCUUGGCGUAUGUUUAAUGCGUGAAUUUUGCUCACUGUACAAAUGGAUGGCUUAAAAGGAUUUCUUCGAAUACUCUAUAAAAUUUAUUCACAUCUGUUGUGUACACCAAAUAAAUGAAUGAAUAUUUUGUAUCGACCUUUUUCAUUUAAUCAUAAUUAAGGACUACUUUCGUUUCAAUUUAAAUGAAACACUUUCCUUAUUAGUGUGUUCCAAAAAAAAUGACACAUUUCUAUAAUUGAAAAUAAUUUAACUUUAAAUUUUUUAUGUUACCCAUUUUACCUUAAUGAGAAGCUUUUAUAAUAAUACAAAUAUCACAACCGCACCAAACUUUUAUCCCUUAAACUUUUAAGACACAAGUUUCAAAAGUCUCUAUUUUCUCUUAAACUCCGUGCCGAAUCAAACUAACUCAUCUAAAUUAAAAGGGAUAGGGCAGUAUAUAUUUGAAGCUUAUCAUAACGCUAUACCUUGGUAAGUAAAUGUGGCUUGGAGUAAAUAUUGGAUGCCGGCGAUAGUUUUAACCCAGAGUUAUCAAAUUAUUGCACCGAGCAGACCGGCCUGUAAUUAGGCAGUUAUCAUAUGACCAGUCGUUCACAAAAAUUGCGCUUAACUACAAAUUUUAUUGGCAGUUAUCUAGAUGAAAAGCUUGGUGCUAUCUGAAAUGCCAUACACUAGCUCCGCCCCUGUAGGCAUGUCAAAGCAAACGUUUUUGUAAGAUGGAUAGAUCUCCAUUGCAUUUUCUGAAGACUGGGCAUUCACAGUCUUGUGUAUGUAGGACGUUUGGACUAUGUUUCCCUCCUUUCUGUACACAUUCUCUUAUAUGGUAUACAUGGCAGCGGUUAAGUCAAACCCCCCCCCACACUUCGCAUUCAACUUGGG
rnacentral:lncRNA from 1 species